UACGUAGGGGGCAAGCGUUGUUCGGAUUUACUGGGCGUAAAGGGCGCGUAGGCGGCGUGGUAAGUCACUUGUGAAAUCUCCGGGCUCAACUCGGAACGGUCAAGUGAUACUGCUGUGCUAGAGUGCGGAAGGGGCUACUGGAAUUCUCGGUGUAGCGGUGAAAUGCGUAGAUAUCGAGAGGAACACCUGAGGCGAAGGCGGGUAGCUGGGCCGACACUGACGCUGAUGCGCGAAAGCUAGGGGAGCGAACGGG
rnacentral:rRNA from 1 species